GGUUAAGCGACUAAGCGUACACGGUGGAUGCCCUGGCAGUCAGAGGCGAUGAAGGACGUGCUAAUCUGCGAUAAGCGUCGGUAAGGUGAUAUGAACCGUUAUAACCGGCGAUUUCCGAAUGGGGAAACCCAGUGUGAUUCGUCACACUAUCAUUAACUGAAUCCAUAGGUUAAUGAGGCGAACCGGGGGAACUGAAACAUCUAAGUACCCCGAGGAAAAGAAAUCAACCGAGAUUCCCCCAGUAGCGGCGAGCGAACGGGGAGGAGCCCAGAGCCUGAAUCAGUGUGUGUGUUAGUGGAAGCGUCUGGAAAGGCGCGCGAUACAGGGUGACAGCCCCGUACACAAAAAUGCACAUACUGUGAGCUCGAUGAGUAGGGCGGGACACGUGGUAUCCUGUCUGAAUAUGGGGGGACCAUCCUCCAAGGCUAAAUACUCCUGACUGACCGAUAGUGAACCAGUACCGUGAGGGAAAGGCGAAAAGAACCCCGGCGAGGGGAGUGAAAAAGAACCUGAAACCGUGUACGUACAAGCAGUGGGAGCCUCUUAAUGGGGUGACUGCGUACCUUUUGUAUAAUGGGUCAGCGACUUAUAUUCUGUAGCAAGGUUAACCGAAUAGGGGAGCCGAAGGGAAACCGAGUCUUAACUGGGCGUUAAGUUGCAGGGUAUAGACCCGAAACCCGGUGAUCUAGCCAUGGGCAGGUUGAAGGUUGGGUAACACUAACUGGAGGACCGAACCGACUAAUGUUGAAAAAUUAGCGGAUGACUUGUGGCUGGGGGUGAAAGGCCAAUCAAACCGGGAGAUAGCUGGUUCUCCCCGAAAGCUAUUUAGGUAGCGCCUCGUGAAUUCAUCUCCGGGGGUAGAGCACUGUUUCGGCAAGGGGGUCAUCCCGACUUACCAACCCGAUGCAAACUGCGAAUACCGGAGAAUGUUAUCACGGGAGACACACGGCGGGUGCUAACGUCCGUCGUGAAGAGGGAAACAACCCAGACCGCCAGCUAAGGUCCCAAAGUCAUGGUUAAGUGGGAAACGAUGUGGGAAGGCCCAGACAGCCAGGAUGUUGGCUUAGAAGCAGCCAUCAUUUAAAGAAAGCGUAAUAGCUCACUGGUCGAGUCGGCCUGCGCGGAAGAUGUAACGGGGCUAAACCAUGCACCGAAGCUGCGGCAGCGACGCUGAUGCGUUGUUGGGUAGGGGAGCGUUCUGUAAGCCUGUGAAGGUGGCCUGUGAGGGUUGCUGGAGGUAUCAGAAGUGCGAAUGCUGACAUAAGUAACGAUAAAGCGGGUGAAAAGCCCGCUCGCCGGAAGACCAAGGGUUCCUGUCCAACGUUAAUCGGGGCAGGGUGAGUCGACCCCUAAGGCGAGGCCGAAAGGCGUAGUCGAUGGGAAACAGGUUAAUAUUCCUGUACUUGGUGUUACUGCGAAGGGGGGACGGAGAAGGCUAUGUUGGCCGGGCGACGGUUGUCCCGGUUUAAGCGUGUAGGCUGGUUUUCCAGGCAAAUCCGGAAAAUCAAGGCUGAGGCGUGAUGACGAGGCACUACGGUGCUGAAGCGACAAAUGCCCUGCUUCCAGGAAAAGCCUCUAAGCAUCAGGUAACAUCAAAUCGUACCCCAAACCGACACAGGUGGUCAGGUAGAGAAUACCAAGGCGCUUGAGAGAACUCGGGUGAAGGAACUAGGCAAAAUGGUGCCGUAACUUCGGGAGAAGGCACGCUGAUAUGUAGGUGAAGCGACUUGCUCGUGGAGCUGAAAUCAGUCGAAGAUACCAGCUGGCUGCAACUGUUUAUUAAAAACACAGCACUGUGCAAACACGAAAGUGGACGUAUACGGUGUGACGCCUGCCCGGUGCCGGAAGGUUAAUUGAUGGGGUUAGCGGUAACGCGAAGCUCUUGAUCGAAGCCCCGGUAAACGGCGGCCGUAACUAUAACGGUCCUAAGGUAGCGAAAUUCCUUGUCGGGUAAGUUCCGACCUGCACGAAUGGCGUAAUGAUGGCCAGGCUGUCUCCACCCGAGACUCAGUGAAAUUGAACUCGCUGUGAAGAUGCAGUGUACCCGCGGCAAGACGGAAAGACCCCGUGAACCUUUACUAUAGCUUGACACUGAACAUUGAGCCUUGAUGUGUAGGAUAGGUGGGAGGCUUUGAAGUGUGGACGCCAGUCUGCAUGGAGCCGACCUUGAAAUACCACCCUUUAAUGUUUGAUGUUCUAACGUGGGCCCCUUACCGGGGUUGCGGACAGUGUCUGGUGGGUAGUUUGACUGGGGCGGUCUCCUCCUAAAGAGUAACGGAGGAGCACGAAGGUUGGCUAAUCCUGGUCGGACAUCAGGAGGUUAGUGCAAUGGCAUAAGCCAGCUUGACUGCGAGCGUGACGGCGCGAGCAGGUGCGAAAGCAGGUCAUAGUGAUCCGGUGGUUCUGAAUGGAAGGGCCAUCGCUCAACGGAUAAAAGGUACUCCGGGGAUAACAGGCUGAUACCGCCCAAGAGUUCAUAUCGACGGCGGUGUUUGGCACCUCGAUGUCGGCUCAUCACAUCCUGGGGCUGAAGUAGGUCCCAAGGGUAUGGCUGUUCGCCAUUUAAAGUGGUACGCGAGCUGGGUUUAGAACGUCGUGAGACAGUUCGGUCCCUAUCUGCCGUGGGCGCUGGAGAACUGAGGGGGGCUGCUCCUAGUACGAGAGGACCGGAGUGGACGCAUCACUGGUGUUCGGGUUGUCAUGCCAAUGGCACUGCCCGGUAGCUAAAUGCGGAAGAGAUAAGUGCUGAAAGCAUCUAAGCACGAAACUUGCCCCGAGAUGAGUUCUCCCUGAGACUUAGAGUCUCCUGAAGGAACGUUGAAGACGACGACGUUGAUAGGCCGGGUGUGUAAGCGCAGCGAUGCGUUGAGCUAACCGGUACUAAUGAACCGUGAGGCUUAACCUU
rnacentral:rRNA from 1 species